GUUGAAGGAGAGCAGAAAAGCGAGGAAAGGCCGUGGAUUAGCGCUGCCUGGGUGAGAGCAGCGCUCAGCAACCAUGUCCACCACCUGCCCCGCCAUCCCAGCUUUGGAAGGAGAGCAUUAAGGGAUUGGUGCUGCCUGUGUGCACAGGAGAGCUUCCUGCAAGGCACACGAAGCCGUGCUUCUGUUCGAGCUCAGCUACAAACACUGUGUCCAAUUUCAGGCUUCACACGUCAGGGGAGGUGAGAGCCAGCUGGAGAAGGCUCAAGGAAAAGCAACAAGAGCAAUCAGAGAUUUUAAAACACUGAUACAUGAUGAAAGAAUUGCUGAGAGGAGACACAUCUUCUUGAUUACAAUUACUCUCAUAUGAGAAAUAGACUCAGAGCAUCCAAAUAUUUUGCACAGGACACCAUAUGGGCAGUAAAUAAUAGAUGCCCUCCGUUCCUUCAGCUGGGUCAGAUCUGAACCCCGAUGCUGCAGAGCGACAGACGCAGCACCUUCUCCC
ensembl:lncRNA